CUUGUAUUUUAUUUGAGAUCUAACCUGCCCAAUGAAUUAUUUAAAUGGCCGCGGUAUUUUGACCGUGCAAAGGUAGCAUAAUCAUUAGUUUAUUAAUUAUAGACUUGUAUGAAUGGUUGGACGAAAUAUUAACUGUCUCAUAUUUAUUAAUAAAAUUUAAAUUUUGAGUUAAAAUGCUUAAAUUUUAUUAUAGGACGAGAAGACCCUAUAGAUCUUUAUUUUUGAUAUUUUUUUAUUUUUUAGUUUUAUUUUUUAUAAAAAUUUUAAUUAUUUUGUUGGGGUGACAUUGAUACAUAAUUAAUUAUUUAUUAUUUUAUUCAAUUAUUUUUGUAUAUUUGACCUUUUAUUAUUGUUAUAAGAUUAGAUACCUUAGGGAUAACAGCGUAAUUCUUUUUGAGAGUUCAUAUCGACAAUAGAGAUUGCGACCUCGAUGUUGGAUUAAGAUUAUAUUUAGGUGUAGAUGCUUAAUUAUUAAGUCUGUUCGACUUUUAAAUUCUUAC
rnacentral:rRNA from 1 species